GUCAUUAUCAAGUCAGUACAACUCUCCUUGCUUUCCUCGUUGGGGAAUUUGCACAACCAAUUUCUGCUGAAGAUUUCACCAGUGGCACAAGUUCACAUCAAGAAGACACGAGGACAAUCUGUUGUGGGGAAAAGACAUGGGGACAAGCAGCUGAGAGGAAGAAGGCAUGUGGACAAGAUGUUGAGGCACAAGGCAUGGACACAAGCUGAUGUGACGAAGAAGCAUCGAGAGGACAAAAACGCAGAGGCGACAGUGCAGGAACGAAGAGAGCUACGACGAAGAGGAGUACUCGGCGGAGACUACCGACGAGCGACCACAGAGUAUAGCGAGGGAGGAAGCGACAAAUGGAGUACUGCAAUCCGUUUUGAGUAACGACUAGUGAGCACAGGGGCAUUGUCGUUG
rnacentral:misc_RNA from 1 species